UACGUAGGGUGCAAGCGUUGUCCGGAAUUAUUGGGCGUAAAGAGCUCGUAGGCGGUCUGUCGCGUCGGCUGUGAAAACUUGGGGCUCAACCCCCAAGCCUGCAGUCGAUACGGGCAGACUAGAGUGCGGUAGGGGAGACUGGAAUUCCUGGUGUAGCGGUGAAAUGCGCAGAGUAUCAGGAGGAACACCGGUGGCGAAGGCGGGUCUCUGGGCCGUAACUGACGCUGGAGGAGCGAAAGCAUGGGGAGCGAACAGG
rnacentral:rRNA from 1 species